AUGGAAAGUGUUCAAUUAGAACAUGAAAACGUGACUCAAUUGGUCUUAGUUAGUCUUAGGGACAGAGUGGAAGAAGGGCGGAGACUCUCGAACGAGGAAAAGGAUCCCUUCGAAAGAAUUGACUGAGGAGCCGUCACUUUGAAUUUAGUGGGGCACUGUUUACUUAUAGCCUCUAUGAGUUGCAAGUGA
rnacentral:rRNA from 1 species